GAAUUUUUAAGAUCAUGUUGAUUUUUUUUUUUACCAAAUUCUUAUGAAGAACUUAUAAGUUAUAAGCUUAGCCGAGCACCCUCUUAAUCUUGUUUUCUAGACAUUCAUUUGUGUUAUCUUGGUCCUUUUCAUUUGUGACGUAUCUCACUGGAUGCGUGUUGUGUACAUGAAAUACUUCAUGAGGAAAACAGUAUGGCGGAUCCUUUUGCCCAUUUGGACUGCCCAGCUUUAUAUAGCUGCUGGUGGUCCAAAUUUAUGGCUCGGACAUGAAUUUUGCCUUGCUCAUCUGAAGCUAAAUCAUGUAAGCAAUACACAUGAUGUAUUUUUUUUUCGAUUUGUUAAAACUUUUUCGUAUAGUGAGUUCAAUCGAAUGGCAGAAAAAACAGAUUUCAAGUGAUGGAACUUUAGUACACUAAAUUCGUUAUCUAAGACGGGAGAAAGGAAAAUGAUGAAUUUCGACAGGUUGUGAAAAAUUACUUUGUUUCACAUUUAAAGCAAGGAGGUAGGUGCAGCUGCAUGGAGGCAUUUGUCAGAACUUGACUCUGUAAUGAAGGCGACCGUAAAUCGUAGGGCAAAUUGCAGCCACCCCAUGAGGUAACCCCAAAUUACGAAAAACCCCCUUCAUGUUUAGAUAAUUACAACAACUCCUUUAGGUAUGUAUUGUCUUAUGAAAAAACCCCUCAUUCGGUAGGUAAGUUUGAUAUUGUAAGGUGGAUGUGUAAGACUAAACAUAGUUGAGGGGUGGUUGUAAUUACCCAAAUAAGAGGGGGUUUACGUAAUUUGAGCAUACCUUAGGGGUUGCCGUAAUUUGCCCUAAAUUGUAAUAGGGUUGGUAUUUAUGUAAGUGUUUAUAUGACAAUGGUGCCCUCACUUUGGAAGAGACGAAAGAUAUUCGACUGGAUUGUAAUACAAAACAUAUACUUGUUUUUAGCAACUGCAUUUUGUGUUCAUGA